UACAGAGGUCUCAAGCGUUGUUCGGAUUCAUUGGGCGUAAAGGGUGCGUAGGCGGCGCGGUAAGUCGGGUGUGAAAUCUCGGAGCUUAACUCCGAAACUGCAUUCGAUACUGCCGUGCUUGAGGACUGGAGAGGAGACUGGAAUUUACGGUGUAGCGGUGAAAUGCGUAGAUAUCGUAAGGAAGACCAGUGGCGAAGGCGGGUCUCUGGACAGUUCCUGACGCUGAGGCGCGACAGCGUGGGGAGCAAACAGG
rnacentral:rRNA from 1 species